rnacentral:rRNA from 1 species
UUGGCGGACGGGUGAGUAACGCGUGGGUAACCUGCCUCACACUGGGGGAUAACAGUUAGAAAUAGCUGCUAAUACCGCAUAAGCGCACGGUUCCGCAUGGAACAGUGUGAAAAACUCCGGUGGUGUGAGAUGGACCCGCGUCUGAUUAGCCAGUUGGCGGGGUAACGGCCCACCAAGCGACGAUCAGUAGCCGGCCUGAGAGGGUGAACGGCCACAUUGGGACUGAGACACGGCCCAA